UACGUAGGGUGCAAGCGUUGUCCGGAAUUAUUGGGCGUAAAGAGCUCGUAGGCGGUUUGUCGCGUCUGCUGUGAAAACUCGGGGCUUAACUCCGGGCCUGCAGUGGGUACGGGGCAGACUAGAGUGCGGUAGGGGAGACUGGAAUUCCCGGUGUAGCGGUGAAAUGCGCAGAUAUCGGGAGGAACACCAGCGGCGAAGGCGGCACUCUGGGGCUGGAACUGACGCUGAGGAGCGAAAGCGUGGGUAGCAAACAGG
rnacentral:rRNA from 1 species